CGGAGGAUCCAAGCGUUAUCCGGAAUCAUUGGGUUUAAAGGGUCCGUAGGCGGUUUAGUAAGUCAGUGGUGAAAGCCCAUCGCUCAACGGUGGAACGGCCAUUGAUACUGCUAGACUUGAAUUAUUAGGAAGUAACUAGAAUAUGUAGUGUAGCGGUGAAAUGCUUAGAGAUUACAUGGAAUACCAAUUGCGAAGGCAGGUUACUACUAAUGGAUUGACGCUGAUGGACGAAAGCGUGGGUAGCGAACAGGAUUAGAUACCCUGGUAGUCCACGCCGUAAACGAUGGAUACUAGCUGUUGGGAGCGAUCUCAGUGGCUAAGCGAAAGUGAUAAGUAUCCCACCUGGGGAGUACGUUCGCAAGAAUG
rnacentral:rRNA from 1 species